GGCAGGGUCAGCUAAAAUCAAAGCUUUAGGACCCAUACUCCAACAAUGAUGGUUAAAAUCCAUCUCCUGCUU
rnacentral:tRNA from 1 species